AUUUAUAUAAUAUAAAAAUUAUAUUUAACUUCCAAUUAAAAAAUCUAGAAAAAUUCUAGUAUAAAUA
rnacentral:tRNA from 1 species